UACGUAGGCAGCGAGCGUUGUUCGGAGUUACUGGGCGUAAAGGGUGUGUAGGCGGUUCUCUAAGUUUGGUGUGAAAUCUCCCGGCUCAACCGGGAGGGUGCGCCGAAAACUGGAGGGCUAGAGUGCGGGAAGGGAGAGUAGAAUUCCUGGUGUAGCGGUGAAAUGCGUAGAUAUCAGGAGGAAUACCGGUGGUGCAGACGGCUCUCUGGACCGCGACUGACGCUGAGACACGAAAGCCUAGGGGAGCGAAUGGG
rnacentral:rRNA from 1 species